rnacentral:rRNA from 1 species
GAUGAACGCUGGCGGCGUGCCUAAUACAUGCAAGUCGAGCGAAUGGAUUAAGAGCUUGCUCUUAUGAAGUUAGCGGCGGACGGGUGAGUAACACGUGGGUAACCUGCCCAUAAGACUGGGAUAACUCCGGGAAACCGGGGCUAAUACCGGAUAACAUUUUGAACCGCAUGGUUCGAAAUUGAAAGGCGGCUUCGGCUGUCACUUAUGGAUGGACCCGCGUCGCAUUAGCUAGUUGGUGAGGUAACGGCUCACCAAGGCAACGAUGCGUAGCCGACCUGAGAGGGUGAGCGGCCACACUGGGACUGGAACACGGCCCAGACUCCUACGGGAGGCAGCAGUAGGGAAUCUUCCGCAAUGGACGAAAGUCUGACGGAGCAACGCCGCGUGAGAGAUGAAGGCUUUCGGGUCGUAAAACUCUGUUGUUAGGGAAGAACAAGUGAUAGUUGAAUAAGCUGGCACCUUGACGGUACCUAACCAGAAAGCCACGGCUAACUACGUGCCAGCCGCCGCGGUAA